UUCCAACAGUAGCAAACACAGUAGGAUAAUUAAACACAAUAAAGCUCAAAAAUUGGUGACCAAGGAAAGAAGCAAGAUUCCAAUGAGGAACAGAAAGGAAUAGCAGUGGGCUCUCAGCUCCACCCUAUCAGCAUUCCCCAGAAGCCAUACUGAUGUGUUAAUGAAAUCCUGCAAAUUCUCACUAAUAGCUCCAGAUCUGAAAAGAAGCAAACUGAGUACCUAUCUGUACACUUAUCUUCUGACUGAGAAGCAGUGGAAACACUGCUGAGGAGUAAGUGAUGCACCAGGGAAAAUGAACAAUUUUCCCUGAGGCUGACUCUAACAGAAACAAAAGAUCUGACCUUAAACAAUGAACAGGUGAAAUAAGGUGAAGCUAGAGACUUCCAUAGGAAUGGGGUAACUCCUUAGGUAUAUAGAAUGAAACAAGAAUGUUUAACAGAAUCUUGGGAA
rnacentral:lncRNA from 1 species